AGUGAACGCUGGCGGCAGGCCUAACACAUGCAAGUCGAACGGCAGCACAGUACGAGUUUGCUCUUCCGGGUUGCGAGUCGGGGACGUGAGAGGUAUGUAUCGGAAUCUACUUUUUCGUGUGGGAUCACGUAGGGGAAGUUACUCUAAUACCGCAUACGAUCUACGGGGGAGAGGAGUGGAUCUUCUCGCCUUGCGCGGUUGGAUUCGCCGAUGUUGGGUUAGCUAGUUGGGGGGGUAAAGGCCCACCAUGGGGACGAUCCGUAGCUCGUCUGGGAGGCUGAUCAGCGACACUGGAACUGAGACACGGUCCAGAGUACUACGGGAGGCAGCAGUGGGGAAUAGUGGGCAAUGGGCGCAAGCAUGAUCCAGUGAGCCCGAGUGGGUGAAGAAGGCCCUGGGGUUGUAAAGACGGUCUGUUGGGAAAGAAACGCAGCAGGUUAAUACGCCGCUGUAGUGACGGUACCCAGAGAAGAAGCACCGGCUAACUACGUG
rnacentral:rRNA from 1 species